AACGAACGCUGGCGGCAUGCCUAACACAUGCAAGUCGAACGAACCCUUCGGGGUUAGUGGCGCACGGGUGCGUAACGCGUGGGGAUCUGCCCUUUGCUUCGGAAUAACAGUUAGAAAUGACUGCUAAUACCGGAUGAUGUCGAAAGACCAAAGAUUUAUCGGCAAAGGAUGAACCCGCGUAGGAUUAGCUAGUUGGUAGGGUAAAGGCCUACCAAGGCGACGAUCCUUAGCUGGUCUGAGAGGAUGAUCAGCCACACUGGGACUGAGACACGGCCCAGACUCCUACGGGAGGCAGCAGUGGGGAAUAUUGGACAAUGGGCGAAAGCCUGAUCCAGCAAUGCCGCGUGAGUGAUGAAGGCC
rnacentral:rRNA from 1 species